rnacentral:rRNA from 1 species
UACGUAGGGCGCAAGCGUUAUCCGGAAUUACUGGGCGUAAAGGGCUCGUAGGUGGCCAACUAAGUCAGACGUGAAAUCCCUCAGCUUAACUGGGGAACUGCGUCUGAUACUGGAUGGCUUGAGUUUGGGAGAGGGAUGCGGAAUUCCAGGUGUAGCGGUGAAAUGCGUAGAUAUCUGGAGGAACACCGGUGGCGAAGGCGGCAUCCUGGACCAACACUGACACUGAGGAGCGAAAGCCAGGGGAGCAAACGGG